GUAACAUAUCGGAACGUGCCCAAUCGUGGGGGAUAACGUAGCGAAAGCUACGCUAAUACCGCAUACGAUCUAUGGAUGAAAGCGGGGGAUCGCAAGACCUCGCGCGAUUGGAGCGGCCGAUAUCAGAUUAGGUUGUUGGUGGGGUAAAAGCCCACCAAGCCGACGAUCUGUAGCUGGUCUGAGAGGACGACCAGCCACACUGGGACUGAGACACGGCCCAGACUCCUACGGGAGGCAGCAGUGGGGAAUUUUGGACAAUGGGCGCAAGCCUGAUCCAGCAAUGCCGCGUGCAGGAUGAAGGCCUUCGGGUUGUAAACUGCUUUUGUACGGAGCGAAACGGCUUUCUCUAAUACAGGAAGCUAAUGACGGUACCGUAAGAAUAAGCACCGGCUAACUACGUGCCAGCAGCCGCGGUAAUACGUAGGGUGCUAGCGUUAAUCGGAAUUACUGGGCGUAAAGCGUGCGCAGGCGGUUUUGUAAGACAGAUGUGAAAUCCCCGGGCUCAACCUGGGACCUGCAUUUGUGACUGCAAGGCUAGAGUACGGUAGAGGGGGAUGGAAUUCCGCGUGUAGCAGUGAAAUGCGUAGAUAUGCGGAGGAACACCGAUGGCGAAGGCAAUCCCCUGGACCUGUACUGACGCUCAUGCA
rnacentral:rRNA from 1 species